rnacentral:rRNA from 1 species
UACGGAGGGCGCUAGCGUUGUUCGGAAUUACUGGGCGUAAAGCGCUCGUAGGCGGCUUUGUAAGUUAGAGGUGAAAGCCCGGGGCUCAACCCCGGAAUUGCCUUUAAGACUGCAUCGCUUGAGUCCGGGAGAGGUGAGUGGAAUUCCGAGUGUAGAGGUGAAAUUCGUAGAUAUUCGGAAGAACACCAGUGGCGAAGGCGGCUCACUGGACCGGCAUUGACGCUGAGGUGCGAAAGCGUGGGGAGCAAACAGG